ACAAAGGGGACUCCUGCCCUUUCACCGUCCCAUGCCCCAACAGGACCUUUGCAUUCUUUGGGGAGAGUUACGCAAAGAGAACUGCAAAGGGUGUGUGAAGCUUCCGUCACUUGUUCGCGUCUGAACUUUGAACGGUUCCAAAGCUGGGUGUGUUUCUUCUAAGGCUUUCAAAGGCAUUUCUGGUGGUGGCAGCUGCUGAGGAACAAAGGGCAAGCAAAACUCCUCCAGAAGAUCUUGGAUCCCUUAAGAAAGAACUUGUAAAGAGCCAGGGUUUCCAACUUCUGCUGAUGAUUUGGUUUCUUCCGAUGGGAUUUCCACUUAGUCUUCCUUGUGUCUCUUUUUCCAGGACUGGAGCAAUGGAAAGGAACUUCAGAUCCUAAAAUUUAACUGGUUGGAGCAAGUGAUCUCGAUUAUUUUCCCCAUUGUAUGGACUUAUAUCUUGGCUGGCUAUUGCCUGUUCUGCAUUUCGAAGCUGUCUUCUGUUCUUCUGCUGAUAUUUGCACACGUGGAGAUGAAGAAUUCUUUCUCUGGAGCCAUCAUGACCAGAUUAGGUUUUGCAGAAUCAGAGCCAAGAAGGGAGGGUCUUCAAGAUGAAAAUGCCAACCUGGACACCUGUCCCUGGAGUAAUGAAGAAGAGGCGCCUUUCAAAGGGUUGCCCCCCUUGCCGAAACACUUUUGGAAGCCCAGCUUGUCUCCAUCGCUUCUCCAUGAGAAGGAAGAGGUCAAGACCACGGAAGGGAGCUGUUCCAGCCUCCAAGAGAAGAUCACUUGGGUUCACGGAGAAUUGGUGAGCCCUUCAACAAUUCUCUUAGGAUUCCCCCAAAUCCCACUGUCUCGCACAAUGUCUCUAGUCCCCAGG
rnacentral:lncRNA from 11 species